rnacentral:rRNA from 2 species
UGGGGAAUAUUGGACAAUGGGCGAAAGCCUGAUCCAGCCAUGCCGCGUGAGUGAUGAAGGCCCUAGGGUUGUAAAGCUCUUUCAACGGUGAAGAUAAUGACGGUAACCGUAGAAGAAGCCCCGGCUAACUUCGUGCCAGCAGCCGCGGUAAUACGAAGGGGGCUAGCGUUGUUCGGAAUUACUGGGCGUAAAGCGCACGUAGGCGGAUUGUUAAGUGAGGGGUGAAAUCCCAGGGCUCAACCCUGGAACUGCCUUUCAUACUGGCAAUCUAGAGUCCGGAAGAGGUGAGUGGAAUUCCGAGUGUAGAGGUGAAAUUCGUAGAUAUUCGGAGGAACACCAGUGGCGAAGGCGGCUCACUGGUCCGGUACUGACGCUGAGGUGCGAAAGCGUGGGGAGCAAACAGG